AGGAUGAACGCUAGCGGCAGGCCUAAUACAUGCAAGACGAACGGUAAGUUGAGUAGCAAUACUUAGCCAAGAGUGUCGUACGGGUGCGUAACACGUAUGCAACCUACCCUAUACAGGAGGAUAGCCUAGGGAAACCUGGAUUAACCCUUCAUAGUAUUAUUGGAUGGCAUCAUUUGAUAAUUAAAACUGAGGUGGUAUAGGAUGGGCAUGCGUCUGAUUAGUUAGUUGGCGGGGUAAUGGCCCACCAAGACGAUGAUCAGUAGGGGUUCUGAGAGGAAGAUCCCCCACACUGGCACCGAGAUACGGGCCAGACUCCUACGGGAGGCAGCAGUAGGGAAUAUUGGUCAAUGGAUGCAAGUCUGAACCAGCCAUGCCGCGUGCAGGAAGAAGGCCUUCUGGGUUGUAAACUGCUUUUGCCAGGGGAUAAAAUUUCCAUGCGUGGAAAACUGAAGGUACCUGGUGAAUAAGCCACGGCUAACUACGUG
rnacentral:rRNA from 1 species